UACGUAGGGUGCAAGCGUUAAUCGGAAUUACUGGGCGUAAAGCGUGCGCAGGCGGUUUUGUAAGUCUGUCGUGAAAUCCCCGGGCUCAACCUGGGAAUUGCGAUGGAGACUGCAAGGCUAGAAUCUGGCAGAGGGGGGUAGAAUUCCACGUGUAGCAGUGAAAUGCGUAGAGAUGCGGAGGAACACCGAUGGCGAAGGCAGCCCCCUGGGCUGACACUGACGCUCAGGCACGAAAGCGUGGGGAGCAAACAGG
rnacentral:rRNA from 1 species